CCUCCCCGCCCAAUGGCUUCUCCGGACGACCCUCCGCGCGCAGAUCAGAUGGCAAAGGAGCCAGUGGAAGACACAGACCCUAGCACGUUAUCCCUUAACCCAUCAGACAAAUAUCCCAUUCAAGAUACGGGACUCCCUAAAG